ACCUCUAUUCUGCUUCCCUUUUUUGUGACCUUGCAGAUUCUGAGCUGCUUACAUACACGAAAGCAUAGGGUAGUUGUCCAUUUCUGCUUGGCCAUUGACAUCCCCCUUCUAUGGGUAAGCAGGCAGUGGUGAAGCAAGGAAGAAGCAAAUGGGGGAGCUGGCCUUUAAGCACAGGCAGCCUGGGCGCAGAGCUGAGCACAGCAGAGCCCUUGACCCACGGGUCUCACAUUUUAGUCAAUUAUUCAAAGCACGGGCCAGGGGAAGGCACCACCUAUUUCUCAAUAGGCUGCCUACCCAGAGCACUACUUGAAGUCACAUUUCUUUCCCAUGUUGUAAAGAAGCACUCUGCUUUGUCUUUUGUGUGGAGCUGAUGGGACAGACGUCCCCUUUCACAGGGACCUCUCAGGUUGUCUGUGCUGCAGCAGCUGCAGCUUGCCCUCUCUCUCCUGUGAUUGCUCGUCUGGCAGCCUCCCCAGAGCCACCAUUUGGCUGUCACACAGUUCCUAUUGGUAAAACUUACCAUCCCGUGGCUCCUGACUUUGUACUGUUUGCUCAAAUGAUCAGUUUAGUGCAGAGCCUGCUGUCACUUUGCAAACCAGAACAAUCCCUCUGGAACCAGAGAUGUCAGAGUGACUCUUGUCAGGAGUGGGGAGGGGAUACCUGUAGGGCACCUGCCAACAGGACAGUCUCAUCUAUAGUGAAUCCAUGAGGACAGACACACUGUCUCAGCUUCUGUCUUUCAGCAGCCAAGUCACACAGGGCUCCGUACAUUUAUAAAGAGUUCAUAUGCAUUCGGUGUAUCUUGGGCUAAAGUACUGAAUUCAAGCAUUUCAAGAAACUGGACGCCCAGAGAAGGCAGACCACCAUGGCCGUCUGGACUGUCGUGACUCUGCAGUACUGGUUAUUCUGAAAAUGCCAAUACCAUGAUAUGCUAAGAUCAUCUUCAGCCCUUGUGUAUAUUCUUCUGCUUGGGGCAAAUGUGACUCGGGACAGCAUCCUCAAGGCUCCAUCAGUCUCCAGCUUCUUGUUUAAAAGUAAAUGAUCCACCCUAUUUAUUUGCUGCUAUUUUAUUAUAUUUGCUACUGAAGCCAUUCACUGGGCCACCUAGCGACUAGAUCUCAUUUAAUCAUACUCCAGAAAGUGCUGUGAGGUAAGGAUUACAAAAUCACUGUCUCUGUCGUUCAGACAGGGUACCGACGCUCUGAGAAGACUGAUGUUCUCCCCGCCC
rnacentral:lncRNA from 1 species